UGGGGAAUAUUGGACAAUGGGCGCAAGCCUGAUCCAGCCAUGCCGCGUGGGUGAAGAAGGCCUUCGGGUUGUAAAGCCCUUUUGUUGGGAAAGAAAUCCUGUCGGCUAAUACCCGGCGGGGAUGACGGUACCCAAAGAAUAAGCACCGGCUAACUUCGUGCCAGCAGCCGCGGUAAUACGAAGGGUGCAAGCGUUACUCGGAAUUACUGGGCGUAAAGCGUGCGUAGGCGGUUCGUUAAGUCUGUCGUGAAAGCCCUGGGCUCAACCUGGGAAUUGCGAUGGAUACUGGCGAGCUAGAGUACGGUAGAGGAUGGUGGAAUUCCCGGUGUAGCGGUGAAAUGCGUAGAGAUCGGGAGGAACACCCGUGUCGAAGGCGGCCAUCUGGACCAGUACUGACGCUGAGGCACGAAAGCGUGGGGAGCAAACA
rnacentral:rRNA from 1 species